ACCACCAUAGCUCUGCGGUUAGAGCACAGGUCUUCUGCAGCGCGGGUCGUGAAUUCAAUCCUCACUGGUGGUU